rnacentral:lncRNA from 1 species
GAAAAACAAAUUCGUAAUUGUCUUUAUUUAUUUAUUUAUUUAUUUUUUGAGAGAUAGGUAGCAUGCUAUCUGCUUCGUUUAUUUUAUUUAAAAUUAAAUUUAGUUAGAAAUAUGAAUCAACUAAGAUUCAAACUUAGAACCUCGAGUACCAACCAUCAAGUCUUUUGCCACUUGCGCUAGGAACGGUCGGUCGUAAUUGUUAGAAUCACCUGAAAUGGAAUUAGAGUGAACUUGAUUUCGUCCUUACCAAACACGCCCUAAGAUUUGUACAAGCCCAUUUCUAGGCCCAACUUCGCAGGUCACGUGACGGGCCAUAAAAGCCCAUUACUAGGCCCAAACAAAUGACACGUGCGCUGCGACCCGCAUAAAUAAGCACUUCUUAUUUUCUCUGCGGAUCUAAUCCCAAAAAACGCCCGUACCAUGGCGGCUUCGCUCUCCCACUUCCCCUCCUCCGCUUCGCCCCCGCGAUUCUCCUUCGCGAAGCUCUUCUCCCCCCUCUCCCGCUCCAAACCCCAACCCCGCCACCUCCACCUCCUCCCCCAAAACCCUAGCCGUAACCCUAAAUCCGUCCUCAAUUGCGCUAGAGCAGCUUCGAACCUCCCCACGCUCUCCGCUUCCGCCGCCGAGGCCGAGCCCCCUUCUCUCGGCGACGUCACCAGGCCCGAUUUCCCCAUACUUCAUCAGGUAUAGUUCGCCACCCUCGUGAUCCUUUACGACGAUUACAAUCUCUUUGUUUGAUGUGUUUUCGUAGUGGUUAUUUGUGGAAACCGUGCAAAAGUGCUUCUUUGAUAAUCUGGGUUGAGUUUGAGGCUUAAGCGUUAUGUUUGGUGCUAUAAAUUAGCUGUUCUUAUUGAUGCAGAGUUCUCUGCAAUAAUAGUGUAUGGGAGGUGAAGUAGUAUGGACGUCAAUUGUACUGUAUCGUGUUUUGAAAUUGAUACCUGAACUUUUAAAAUUUUGAUUUUACUACCGAGCAUUGUAGGAUAAUUGAUUUAAGUGUUUGUGUAUCAUAAAUUGACAAUAUUUUUUGUGUUGGUAAAAAUAUAUAAGACUUACCUGAAGUAUGACCCAUCUUGAAGAUUUUAAUUUUACUACCCAACUUUUUAAUUAAUUUGAUUCGAGUCGUUCGAUGAAUCCUAAACCUCAAAAUUUGAACCCGUUGUUUACUUUUACAGGCUUGAUUAGUAUAUUUCACGUAAUUCAUGCGGCCAUCAACUCCACUAAAACAAGUAAUAGCCUAAAUUGUUUAAUGGAAGAACCAUCAAAUAACUUAAAUAGUUAAAUCAAAUAAAUUAACAAGUUGGGCACCAAAAUCAAAAUUUCAAUACGUUGGGUAGUUGAAUUUGAAUGGACUUUAAGUUCAGGUAAGUUCUAUAUAUUUUUACCUUUUUAGGUUAUCCAACGAAAUUUGUUUAAUAUAACAGAGUAUUACUUUAUUUCCUGAAAUGUUCUAUGCUUAAUUAAAGAAAAGCUGUUCGAUUCCAUCAAACUUGAUAAAAUUUCUCACUACCUUACUGAAAGUAAAAGAAGUGACAGAUUGGAUAGUAAAGUCAAUAUUUGUAAAGGUUCAGGCAUUCAUUUCUAAGUGUCUUAUGGCUCAGAUAAGGUCUAUAUAUUUUGGGUUUUUGUUUGCUAUUUUACUUGCUGGUUUUAAGAUUUCUUGGAUAACAUCAUAUUGUAUAGAUUAGUAGUUGGUUAGUGAGAAUUAAGGGAUAAUUUUGGUAAUUGCAGGUAGUUAAUGGCUUCAAUUUAGUUUACUUCGAUAAUGCUGCGACGUCUCAGAAACCUUCUAGUGUUUUGAAAGUUUUGGACGAGUAUUAUCAGUCCUAUAACUCAAAUGUUCACCGUGGCAUCCAUUAUCUGAGGUACUGUUUACAUUUUCUACUGCCUCAAUAAGUGAUAAUUGGAUAACUACCCAUUUUUUUGGCAUGCUAAUAUAGUAAUAUUUAUGUUAGCUACUCGAUGAUAAGAGUAAAUAAUUCAUAUUUUGAUUUUUGCUUCUUGAUAUUGAAUUCCUCAAGAAUCCUGCAGGAAGUCGCUCCACUUAAUCUUUUUUUUUGGGCAUAAAAUACAAAGUAUAGCCUUUCCAUUUAACCUUUUGAAGCUUAAAAUUACAUUUAUGUUGCAUUGAAGAUGACUUUUUUGUUCAUUGAUCCAGUGAGAAAUGGAUGUUAUCAGUUACUGAAAAAGGUGAAUAUGAGAUACAUUUAUUUGCAGCUUGGAAUGCCAAACUGAAGAUUUAGGUAGCUUUUUGGGACUACUAAGCACAAGUGUCCUGAAAUAGUAAGUCUGAACAUUAGCUUUGAGAUAAGUUUGAACUUGUGGGUAAAGUGAAUGGUGUCUAUAGAUGCUCUCAGGAAAGCAUGCUGCUGGUAAGUAGGCGAUUCUUUUAGAUAACAAGGCCAAGAAUUGGAAGAUUGCGUGCUUCUUAGAUCAAUUGUGUCCACCAUCAUUUACUGUUUUGCUGAGGAUAUUUUAAUAACUUCUUAUGAGUGUCUUGAGUGUGAUUUAGUAACUUCUUUUUCUUGAUGACGCAUGGAAAGAAAUUCAGUUUAUUUCUGCCUUUACUUUUCUAUUCGUUAACAAUUACUAAGAGUGGGAGUUGGAUUAUAACUAGUUUUGAUGCUUAUCAAGAUGUAGAACUAUCCCUGGAAUCUAUUUUUGAGUAUAUCAUUUGAUCAUGGGUGAUAAUACUUUUUAAAUAUUUUUUAGACCAACAUGGAGGUGAUAAACAACCUUUAAGGAACUGUUUACUCCACUAAAUGUAAUUCUGUAUUGGAUAUAAGUAUGACAGGGAAACAGUUUGACUAUCGGUAUGAAGCUGUCUCUACUUUUAAAAUAUAGUGAGUUCCUUGUGUAUUUGUGUUGUAGCAAGUAGUUUCUCAGCCUGCAGCUCAACAUUCUGAUCUUACUUUUUGCUUUUGAGAUCAGUGCAAAGGCUACAGAUGCAUAUGAAGGUGCUAGAAAUAAAGUUGCAGCUUUUAUUAAUGCUUCCGAACGUAGAGAGAUUGUAUUUACUCGUAAUGCUACUGAAGCUAUCAAUUUAGUAGCCUAUUCUUGGGGUCUAUCCAACUUAAAAUCUGGGGAUGAGGUGCGUUUUCUGUUUCUUAUCUUCUUUUGUAUGGAUCAAGUUUGGAAGUUAUUCUGGCGAUUUUAGUAUAAUAAUUUGCAGUUCUUUGAGUAGUAUUCAAUAUUUGAAUUUUUCUUCUUAAGUUUCAAUUCCUGUUUUUUCAAAAUUUUAAAUUUUUUAAAGCAUAUUUUCUAAGUUGUUUUUCUAAUUAAGCUCCAAUUCCUAUUUAUUCAAUUUUACUUUUUUUUUUUUUCAACAAAGUUUGUGUGAUGCUGCUUGUUAUUGCAGUUUGUUCAUUUGAUUAAUUAUGAUAUAGUAGGCAUUUUACAUAUGGCCUUUCUUUCCUUUAAAACUAUAUGCCCUUGUCUAAGUGCUUGUUGUUUAUUGCUAACUUUUUAUCAGAUACUACUCACAGUUGCUGAACAUCAUAGUGCUAUAGUUCCCUGGCAAAUUGUUGCUCAAAAGACUGGCGCAACUCUAAAGUAUGUCAAUUUGACAAAAGAAGGGCUUCCCGAUCUUCAGCAAUUGAAGGAAUCUUUAUCAAACAAGACGCAGAUUGUAAUUAUUCACCAUGUUUCAAACACGCUUGGUAGGUUGAUGUCUAUUUGGGACAUAUCUUUGAAAUAAUCAUUUUUGAAUAUUAAAUUCUAUUUUAUUGGAGUAUGGUCUAUGAAAUAUCUCUUCUGUGAAUUUAAUGUGGAAUGCAAGUUACUGUUGAAAAUUAACCUGGAUUCUGUUGUUGCCUUUCUGGAGAAUUAGGAAACCUGCCCAGUUCAAUUGUAGAAAUGAAGAAAUAACAAUAUCGUGUAUAAUCUCGAGGGAAUGAUGCUCUUUUGUUGGUAUUGCUGCAUGAGUUUUGUCACUUCAGACAUAGAUCUAAUAGACAAUUUAGAAAGCUAUUAAUAUGUCGAAUAAUGCUUCUGCAUUUAUUUCAUCUCGAGAAGCUUAGCUAAUACAUUGUUUUCAUGAUGAUCAAUAUAUGCUCUAAUGUCUCCAGUAAUUGCUUCAAACCAAUCAUUCAUUAAUCUGCUGUGGAAAUUGAGUUUAUUGCAAAUUCAAAAAGCCGAUAGAUUUGGACAAAUCCAUGAUAUAUGAGGAAAUCAUGAGGCUUAGCUGCACCAAAUGUGCCUUUUGCUAGUGCAAUUAUAAGUAAUGUAGAUAGGAAGAUGUGUGCAUGAACAAUCACAUGAACAAACUGAAAAGUAUGAGGUUGAGUUCUAAGUAUGAGUUUGAGGCUGAAGUUGGUAAUUUUGUAUUGAGUUGAUAACUUUCAUGCCAGAGGUCCUUUAAGUGGCAUAAUAUAUUGCAUUCAUAAACUCUAGCUGCGACUGCCCUGUGCUAGUAUGUGAUACAUCUCUUUUCUGUGAAGAGCCUUAUUAUUCCUAUUUCUGUCCAACUUAAUUUGGAUAUAAAUUUUGUGCUUCAUAAACUUUUUUGUACUUGACCUUGGUAGGAAGGAAUAUACUGAUAUUCAUACUUCAAGGGUUAACCAAGUUUGUAUUUGAUAGUUUUGCUGCUUAUUUUGGCAAUUAGUCUGUUUUCGGUAUAACUAUAACAUACUAGCCUGAUUACUUAAAAGAAUAAAAUGUUAUUCUUGCUAUGCCUUUGAUUGCAUAGCACUUUUUCUUAAUAUAUACUGCACUUAUAAAUAUAAAUAAAAAGAGAUGGCAGAUUAUCAAGAUGUAAAUGCUUCCUCUCCCUUAUUGUUUUCAGGUUCUGCUCUUCCAAUUGAAGAGAUCACGGCAUUGUCACAUAGAGUUGGUGCGAAGGUCCUAGUAGAUGCUUGUCAAAGUGUACCCCACAUGGUAGUUGAUGUCCAAAAACUUGAUGCUGAUUUCCUUGUCGCAUCUUCACACAAGGUUUGUGAUUUUGAACUCAGAUUGGUUCAUAACUCAAAUCUUUCUCGGCCAAUUUAUUUAGCACUAAAGGGCUAGUCUUAGCAAGUUACAUACUAAACUUCUCUCAGAUGUGUGGGCCCACAGGCAUUGGUUUUCUAUAUGGUAAAAGCGAGUUGUUGUCCUCUAUGCCUCCGUUUUUAGGUAAGAUUAUGGAAGUGUUUGACUCGUGAUAAGAGCAUUGGCCAUGUUAUUUUGUAGCUAGUGGUAAACAAUUUAAUGUUUUCUUUGUUGUCUCCUUGGAUUUUUGGGUAGGUGGGGGUGAAAUGAUUGCUGAUGUGUUUCAUGAUUACUCAACAUAUGCCGAACCUCCAUCCAGGUGAGAAAUUAUGCUAUUGCGUUUAUUAUGAUGUAUAAAUGCAUUUUUUUGUUGAUGCAUUUCUAUUAUAAGCUUUACUGUAAAGAGCAUGGUAGUUAGAGAAUUUACAGAAGAGAAAUGUUUAUUGUGCACUUCUCAAAUUAUACUUUUGGUGGAAAGCAGCAUUCUUCGUGGUAAAUCUGUAGCUAGAAGAAGAGAUGAAUUUACUAAUUCAAGUGCAUUGUCACUCUCUGUAUUAUUCGGAUCACCUGCUCAAGUGUAAAAUUAGUCUAAGACUGGUAUACAUUAUCUUAGAAAACCAGAUAUACUUAUCAGUCUUAUGUUGCCAUUAUCUAAUUAAGUAUAUUCUUUUCCUUUUAAUGAUGCUCUGUUAAUUAUGGAUUUUCAAUGUGAACAAUUGAGAAUUUGGUUUUAGAUUUGUGAAACAAGAUGUGAAGUGUCCUAUUUAUGUUUGAUCUGUUUCAUAAGGUAUAAUUAUAUGGUUCUCAAAAGAGCAGAUUUGAAGCUGGAACUCCUGCAAUUGGGGAAGCCAUAGGAUUAGGGGCAGCAAUUGAUUAUUUGUCAAACAUUGGAAUGCAAAGGAUCCAUGAUUAUGAGGUGAUUGCCAAUCUUUUUUAAUCACCCUCUUUUUAUUUAAAGGCCACUUUGCUCCAUAUUUCACUGUUAUGUUCUUUGCUCUUACAAACAUGUAAUUUUUUUAUACACUUCUCAGAAAGAGUUGGCCAACUAUCUAUACGACAGCCUUUGUUCAAUUCCGAAAGUGCACAUUUAUGGCCCCGCUCCUUCAGAAAUUUCACACCGUGCUCCUCUUUGUUCAUUUAAUGUCGAGAAUAUUCAUCCAACAGAUAUUGCAACAUUUAUUGAUGAGCAGGUAUGUGUGAACUAAGUUGUAUUUUGUUAUAUCCCCUUUUUUUUUUGUUUUUGAUAUUUCUAAGAUAAGCAUGGUACUAGUUAUCAGAUCUGAUUAUGAACAAUAUUAAAAAUCGAAUAUAAGCAUUAUCUUUUGCCUUAUGUGCAACUAUGUAAAAGCUUGUUUUGUUGCCUUUAUAUGCAAGCAUGAUAAAGACCCAUUCUCUCAUUAUUAAACAUGCUUGCAUUGCUAUGCAAUUUAUGUCAAGAUUGCAUAAUUCAUUAUCUUCACUCCUACAUAGUUUUGAGUUUUCAAAUGACUACAGGCGAUCAAUAUAUUGCCAAUUCGUUUUUUUUGUUUUCUUUCAUACUAUUCAUUACACUAAAAUAUUUUUAUAACUUGUUACAAUGGAUUUGUAAUGGUUAUGUUAUUUCAUUUAGUACGGGGUGGCUAUUCGAUCAGGGCACCACUGUGCACAGCUGCUACACCGAGCCUUAGGUGUCAAUGCAAGUGCGCGCGCCAGCCUCCACUUCUACAAUACGAAAAAAGAGGUGGAUAUCUUCAUUCAAGCGCUUAAAGAAACUAUCGAUUUCUUUACCUCCAUACACUGAGAUUACUAGCUCCUUUCUGUGUAGUCCUUUUUUCCUUCGUUGCAACUUAUAAACUCUUUUCCACACAAACAAAACGGCCAACCGGUACCUCAUUUUGAUUUUCUCGCCUUAUAAUGCUUGUAUCAUAGUUUCACAAUGUUUAUAUUGUAUCGGAUAAGUUAAAAACCAGUACCACUUUAUCAAAUGGAAAUAAAAUAAAUGAAUCUCUUUCUUCGAUUGGUGUUCGAUUGUGCCGAAUUCGUGCUGGUUCCUCUGUAACUCGGCAAAGCUUAUUGUUUCAUGGGUUCUCUAAUUCCAUUAUGAGGUGUAACAACUAGUAAAUAUCGGAUACAAUUAGAAGGGCCGGCGCUUUCUAGCCCUAUCUGGAAAACACGAGGCGGUCGAAAUCCCUGGAAAAGGGGAGUGUGAGGACCAGCGAGAGUCGGUCCCGGGAUUGAUUGUUUGCUGUGUUUAGAAAAGAUGCAAUAAUUUGUACUGUGCGUGUUUCAUCCACUUGGUUGUUGUAAUAGUUUCAAGCCAUGUGCUUUCCAGUUAUCUCCUAUUGAGAUAUCAUCAGAAGUGCUUUUUCCAAGUGCUGGACCACCUUCAUUUUCCCCGUCAUUCUAUUGUCUCUAUUUUAGGCGUAGUUGGGUACAUUUCACCCACCAGUAUUCUAGUACUUUGUAGAAGAUGUGGAGAUUUUUCUCUUCUCUUUGAAAGAGUUUGCGCCGAAAUGCUUCACCGCGAAUUGCGCGAUGUGUUCUAAUUGUGGGGGUAUGCUCCUGCUCCUGCUCCUGCUGUUCUCUGACUCUUCUUUUCUGCUUCAUACCUUUUGCACGGAGAAAAGAAGUUCAUAGUUACAAUUCAUCGCCCGCAAAAUUCACAGCAAAGUUAAAGAGAUUCAUCGUCUAGUCGAGAGGUAUAACUGGAUCUUUUCAAGAACAUAAAACGGCAUUACGGUUAUACAGCAACUCUCUGUAGCGCUGUUGUGGUCAAUGACAGAACUAAUAUUUCUGCUCCCACAUGAAAAUCGUAUCCUUUUGCAUUAUGCCUCGUUGCGUGUACAGAUGGUGUAAUCGACUCUCCCAUUUUUUUUUUUUUGUUUUAUUUAUUUUCUUGUGUGAGAACACUCGAAGGAUUAUGGUACGCAGGUCUUUUUCUCGGGUACGAAAAAUGAAUGAAAGAAAAGGAGGGGUCUUUUCAUGUAUCUGAAACUUUGGGAAUGCCACAUUCCAACUUUUCUUCCUACUUUUCCCCACCCCGGGCGUGAAUUUCUCACUCAUCUGACCUUUCUUUUCCCAGCCCAUUCCAGAACCACGUUGAGAGAAAAUAUUCCCUACACCCAGUGUACCAAAUUGCUUGCGCACCGCUAAGUAUAGUGAAUAAUGUGUGCCUCAUAAUUUAUCAAUUUAUUUAUAUAUAAAACGUAUGAACUGAAAACCUACUGUUAACUCUUCGUCGACUAGAUCCAAAACCAAUGUGUUUGAUGCAUGAGAAAUUGAUGUUCAAAACUUGAGGUCCAUUUCCACGUCGGAAUAAGUAAUUCAGUAAUAAAUUAUUUAUUAUGAAAUUUUUUUUUAUGUGGUUAGAGUUUGCUAUUUUAGAAAAUUUUAGCAUUCAUGAUUUAGUAGAAUUAUUACCUUUUUUUUUUAAAAAAAAAAAGACUCGAGGCUGAAUAAGCUACUCCAUUCUAGACAUCAGAUCACACUCGUCAUCUACCAAAUUACUAUAAAUUCGAACAUUCGAACACGGCCUAAACAUAUGUAUAUACUCGGAUUAGCAUUACCAGAGCUGUAAAUAUCACCGCCAUUCUGAACGUCGCGCAUAACGCAUUAAUAUUUCGAUACCGGGAUAUCUACGAGUAAAUUUUAGGAGUGCGAUGCACGGCGCGUGCGUCGGGCGCAGGUAAUAAUUUCCCAGGGGCAGUAGGUGCUGGGGCCCCACCCACCCACAUGAGGCUGCCGGUGGAGGAAUGGCUCAGCUCCAGGGAGCACGCCCCCGCCUGCCGCCCUGCCAAUCUGGACCGGGCCCGCAGAUUUUGUACGCACCAAUUGUGGCCUCUCACGUCGCGGGCCCCACCGAUUCUGGCUUAUUGGGCCGGUACUGGACCCCGCCGUCUUAAUCAACAUCUCCGCCGCAUGCACAACACCAGGUUCGACACUUCUCCUGCGUUCUCAUUAAUUGCCCGGGAGUCCCGCGGCGGUGGGCGGUGGGUGAUGACUUUUCUCCGAUUUUUCUGGACCGUUCGUUCCUUCGUUCGCUUAUUCGCUCGCUCGCUCACCCGCAAUUAGUAGUAACGAUAAAUAAUAUUGUGUGUCAGAUUCGUACUCUCUUGAAAAAUUUUACGAGGUUUUCAAAAAAUAAUUUUACUAAAAAAAAAAGAGGAAAGAGCAGAAGUAAGUAGAAUCAUAUUUUCAAUAUCGCAACUUAGUUGUUUUAAAAACUCGGACUCCUGUUUCUUACACAUUAUAAAAGAUAAAAAUAAAAUCUAAUUUUUCUUUUAAAAUAAAUAAAUAAAUAAAAUGCAUGGUGCCCAAAUUCUUUAAUUUUCUCUCUCUUUUUUUUUUUCAACUUUUGCGGCUGGAUUAGUUGUUACGCAUAUAUUACACAGAGUUGUUAUUAGCUUUUACAAAGUCAGCAACACACUAAUUAAUAGUUUGAGACUCAUAUAUGCAUUGUUAAAUAUAUUUUUCGACCAUUUUGUAUUAAAUAAGUUUUCUUUUUGUACCAUACUACAUAUCUCUUAUGUUUAUUAUGGUUUUUCGUGUUAAAUAUAUUCUUAUUUUUUAUCGGUCGAUAUCUUGAAUAAGUACACUAUCUAUUUAGGCUACUUUUUUUUAUUAUUUUUCUUUAAAAUUUUCCUUUUGAGUCCAAAUCUCACUGCUUCCUUUUGCCAAAAAAGAAAAAGAAAAUCUGAAAAAUAUUCUCAACGAAAAAACGAGUGCUGAUGUUAUUUAAAAGGCAUACAUUAUUUCAUAUAUUAUAGUUCGUGAACAUUCUUAAAGAUAUAAUCUUUAGCAUAAUAUAUGUGAAAUAUUAAACCCAUCAUCUUUCAGAAUGAAUCGAGACUUAAAACUGAUUCUGAUAUCAUAUUAUUCAAAAAAUUAUACAUAAAAGAUCAAUCAAAUUAGGAAUGACUGGGUUAAAAUCUUAAUAGCAUUAGGAAUUGGAACAAGAAAAGAGAUAUAAUUAAAAGUCUCGUUUGGCAUCGGUGCUAUUUUUUAAUAAAAUUUUUACAUACAACAAUGUAGAAUGGGGUGAUACAUGAAGUAUUAAAAAAAAAAAAUGAAAUAACCUUUUUAUUUCUUCUAUUUUGUUUUUAAAUAAGAAAUUGUCCAUCGCUUGACCAGAUUAUAUUGCAAGCUAACCAAGUAGGACAACAAGAGAAAAAUAAUUUCAGUAAUAUAUCAACUUAUAUAGAAUUAGGGCUUUGAAAAAAAAAAAAAAAAAAAAAACUACCAAACCUAACCUAGAGCUAUACAGACAUUUUGGCCCCAAUAAUUUUGGCCUAUUUUGAAAAGCUGAGAGCUAAAUAAUUCUUUCUUAUAAGCAUGUCCGUGUGCGACCGAACCUCUGCCCUCUUAGUCGGCGACUAGAAAAUAACCAACUGUACUAACUAGUGAUAAUAUAUAUAGGUAAGAAUAAACUGCCCGUUUGGUCCUCAAACUAUGCAGCGGGUAAUAUUUUGACCCUCAAAGUUUAAUUUAUUGUAAAUUCUGGCUCAAACUUUUAGAAUUAAUACAAUCAAAUUCUAUAUCCUAAUUUAGUUGAUUAAAAAUAAAUGAAUCGUUAGAUAGAAGCAAUAUAUUAGUGUUAUGAUUGAUUAUACGCCAAUAAUUAAGAUGCUAUAUCAGCAAUGUGUCAACUUUUAGUUAGGCUCUAAGACUUGAUUAUAACAAUUCCGUAAGUUAAAUGAAUUAAACUUUGAUGACCAAAGUGUCAACUAUUUUAUAAUUUGAGAACCAAACAUGCAAUUAAAGUUUCAGACCCUUGGAAGGAUAUGAAGUUGUUCGGGUACUCAUUAAUAUAAAAAUGAUAUAGCAGUAUUGUGAUGAAUAAUGCGCUAAUAACUAAGAUGCUAUAGUAACGAUGUGUCAAUCUUUAGUCAACCAAAUUAGGUUCUGGGACUUAAUUACAAUAAUUCUACAAGUUUGAGCCAAAAUUUAUAAUAAAUUAAAAUUUAAGGAGUGAAGUGUCAACUACCUCAUAGUUUGAGCACCAAACUUGCAAUUUACCCUACAGAUAACAAGUUCAAUGCAUGGUCCACAGUUUGCAUGGUGGACCAUGGCCAUGCAUUUCAUCUAAUGUGCCACGUGAGGCUCUUCGAUUCCCCAAAUAUGUUUCAACUAUUAUUUAGAAAAAACUUUGAAAACCCCUUUAUGAUUUCAAUUUUUUUCACUUUAGUACUCUGUGGUUUAAAAUGUAUCAAGUUAGUACCCUAUGGUUUCUCACUUUAGCACUUUACUACCAUAUAGUUUAAAGUGUAUCAAGUUAGUAUUCUGUGAUUUUGCACUUUAUCAGUUUACUGUGGUUUUACACUUUAUCACUUCAGUACCCUGUGGUUAAAAAACCACAGGGUACUAAAGUGAUAAAGUGUAAAACCACAGGGUACUAAAGUGAUAAAGUGCAAAACCAUAAGGUACUGACUUGAUACACUUUAAAUCACAUGGUACUAAAGUGAGAAAGUACGAAAUCACAUGGUAUUAACUUGAUAUAUUUUAAAUUACAGGGUACUAAAUGAAAAAGUGUGAAACGAUAGGAUUUUUUGAAGUUUUUCCUAAUAUCCAAGCUCCUUGAUUGGGUAUUCUCAAACUAUUUACCAUUUAAUUCUCCUCUUUUUAUUAUUAUUAUUUUAUUUUAUUUAUUUUUUUUUUUUGGGACCAUUGAGACUCCUCCGUGGAAAAGCGUCGCUGUAAUGGGGGUUGCGUGGGACCCACAGAAUCGUACGUGUCGGCAUUUUUUUUUUUAUCGAAGGAAAACGUGGUUGAAUGAAACUCUGAUCAACACAUGUUAUGAUUUUCUCAAAUAAUAAUAAUAAUAAUAAUAAUAAUAAUAAUAAUAAAACUAUUCGCCAUUGGAUAUAAUUAUCCGUUUAUAUAAGUCCAUGGACCAUGGGAAUAAUAUGUCACUCUCUUGUAGUACCAACUUGUGUAGUGCAGGGAAUAGGGUAUAACCAUUCCUAUUCCCAAAUGCUUAGUAGUUUUGUUAAGUGACUCUUCUUGUGUAGUGAAGUUUUAUUCCAUGUCUCAACACUAUUUACUAUUUUACUCCGAUAAUCAUGGAGGGUUAUACUUCUUAGUCUUAAGUUUAAGCUUAAAAUUUAAAUUUAACGCGGCUUUUUAUAUUGCACCGUUAAUAAAUUUGAGGCUUUCGCUUAGUUCUUUUGUGGGAAUUUAUAGGAUAAACUAGUUCUCAAUUCAAAAUCUUGCAUAUCUGACCCUAUUUUCGUUGGGUAUAAACUGGCUUUUAUCUACAUAAGAGAGUCUGGAUUAGGUCGAUCAAGCCACUACAACAAUUCCAUCAUAUUACCGACAGUCUCUAGAACAAGUGGCAAAGGGCUUGAUGGUUGGUAUCCGAGAUCCCAAAUUUGAAUCCUAAUUGAUUUACAUUUUCAGCUAAGUUUAUUUCUAAUAAAAUAAAUGAAGCGGGUAGCAUGCUACCUAUCUCUCUCUCUCUCAAAAAAAAAAAAAAAAAUUCCAUCAUAUUACAUCAAUUUAAUCGCAUGAAAAAUUAAACUAUUGUAAAAUAUAUUUUGUUGCAACAACAGUUAAUUUGUACC